rnacentral:rRNA from 1 species
CCUACGGGAGGCAGCAGUGAGGAAUAUUGGUCAAUGGGCGGGAGCCUGAACCAGCCAAGCCGCGUGAGGGAAGAAGGUACAGCGUAUCGUAAACCUCUUUUGUCAGGGAACAAAGGCGGGGACUAGUCCCCGGAUGAGUGUACCUGAAGAAAAAGCAUCGGCUAACUCCGUGCCAGCAGCCGCGGUAAUACGGAGGAUGCGAGCGUUAUCCGGAUUUAUUGGGUUUAAAGGGUGCGCAGGCGGUCUGUUAAGUCAGCGGUCAAAGCCCGGGGCUCAACCCCGGCCCGCCGUUGAAACUGGCAGUCUCGAGUUGGAGAGAAGUAUGCGGAAUGCGCGGUGUAGCGGUGAAAUGCAUAGAUAUCGCGCAGAACUCCGAUUGCGAAGGCAGCAUGCCGGCUCCACACUGACGCUGAGGCACGAAAGCGUGGGUAUCGAACAGGAUUAGAUACCCCGGUAGUC